UCUAUGACUGGCUACAUUCCCAGUCCACGAUUAGCUGUAGAAAUCAGACGCAGCAAUCAAUGAAGAUCGUGCGAACAGACAAUACUGCUACGUAGUAUGUACAUAUCAUCGACUGAUUGACUAUACUCAUAUGUACUACGUACCAUAGUAUGGGAUUACGGAGACUCCACGAGGGCUGGUUUUCUGGUACGCUAUCGUAGCCCCUCCCAAGUACGUACCCUCACCAUGACUACCUACAUACUCUGUUAGUAUGGGUUUUCCUCGAUCCUUCUCAACAGGUGCGACGUGGGAUCAUCACUGCCCUUAGCAUGUACUGCACAACAUCGCUUGUCAUCUAUUCAUCAUUUAUCAUCUGAAUUAAAAUAUACUAACUAACUUACUACGUAGUACAUACAGAGAUACAACAAGAAGGUUGUAUUAAUCUAAUAGAGUAACCACUAGUUAAAGCAUAUCAAUAUAUCCUCUGCUGCGACUGAAGUCAUUGUACUGAGUAGGUCAUCCGCCGUUUUUAAUACCAAGCAAAAUCGUUUUCAAUUUUCCAUACUUGGUAGUUCGUACUCCAAACGUAGUACAUAUCCAUACUAGUCAGAAUGACUAAAAGCGCCCACUGCCCACUACAGGCACAGAAAUGGGAAAAUCCAUCGGAAGGAUACUUAGGAUAGUCGAUCGACCAUCCACACACACCAAUGAACGAUUUGCUAUAUGAUGAUCUCCAGCGGUGUUGUUUUACUUUGCUCCAUUAAUCUAUAUUAACAUUUCUGCCGCAUUCUAUGAGGGAUUAUAUCAUCAUACAGAUACCUAAGUUAGUUAAGUUAACAACUAACUUGGUUAACUAUCAGUGUAAUAAUUUCAUACGAUAUGAAUGUAUACAUUACUCCAUCCCAAAGAGGCGAAUCAAAGAACGGUACGAACUGCUUCAACUGUUGUUCUCCAUCGACGAAAGCCUCCCGCGGGCCAAUCAGAUCCAACAUUGAAAGCUCUUGUCAAACACUCCGCCCGAAGCGGUUAGCCGGAAAGAUAAAAAUCAGACAUCCUGAUUGGCUGAACAGCGCGGACUUUUAAUCUUACUAUCCUAGUGCGUAUUACUCCGUAGUACAAGCAUGGUAAUACAGCAUACGGAGUACUUGUCCUGCUCUGUUGAGUGUUGACGAUUGCAGAUAGUUAUGGGUGUGGUUUCAUGGGCCUCCUGGAAACCAUUUCCAUUGUCGGGAUGAUCUUAUCCAAGUCGUACAAGGACCAACUACGUAGUACUUAUUAUGUAUGUACAGCAGCCCUAUCGAUGAAGUCAUUGGAAUGUUGCUCGACCUGAAUUCCCUGCGCAUUCUUUUUACUCAAGAAGCAAAGCCGCCCAUUCUGUUGUUACAAGUCCAACAAACGUUCCUAUGGAGCAGUUAAAACUUAACAUCGAAUAGAUUGAAAGUUCCUCUUUCAUGCAGCCCAAUUCAAGGGGAACAAGUCAGUGUGCAUCCGCUUCCGUCCCACCGGCGCCGAGCCGAUGGUUCGGUGGCUAUUCGGUAAUUAAGUAGGGGGACUAUUUCGAUCAAAUCCCUUAAACGUCAGCUGUUUCAGUCGACGCACGCCUUCUGAAAGUAAAAGAGGCAAGUGAUAUAUCAUGUGGUAGUUAGUGUUACAGACAGACAGCCAUUCAACCUGUUCAGCAUAUUCUCCGCCCCCGUAUUCUUGGGCAACCUUGAGUUUUGUCACAUUUUAGUACAUAGUAUGGCCACUUGGAAGCCUUCACCGAGAGCGGCGGCAAUACGGAGCCCACGGAGCCCGUCUAUACACACAACUAACUACUAUGUAGAAUGAGCACCCAACAUGACCGAGAUGGGCAGCGUCAAGAGCAGCUGAUCUGUCGCUAAGAAUUAGCCUCCGGAAGCCAGGAGCAGACUCCGUAAAUUAACUAUGUGGCAUAACUAGUGCGUUGACAGGAAGAUGCAUCGUGAAUAGAGGCAAAAACGUGGUUGGAUAGAGUUCAGUCUAAAAGUCCUGAAGAAAUCAACUUGGUUGCGCUAGUCCGCUUUUCCUUCUGCAGAGGUGGGGAUACGUUGUCGAAUUUUGAACUAUUGUUUCUAUUUUACGGAGUUUAUUUCACUUGGCUGCGAUUUAUCACUCAUGGUCAGCAGACCUUGAAAUAUUUAUUCAAUCUUGAAUUUGGAUGGCAUCAAAAAUGUUAAUUCCGAGGGAGAAUAACAAUAUUAAUACUGGGAAAGUAUUAUUGUACUACUAUCAUGGUAUCAAUAUUUCAUGUCUACAAGUGUACAAACAAGGGUUCAGAACUCUCUGCUGUACAGAGACUAGUGGGACAUCUUCGCCCGACGCCUUCACCGCUGGAUGGAUGCAUCCAAUAAGGGAUAAUGGUGCGAUAUCGCAUGGGAGGCAACAGAACUAUGUACUAUGGAGUGCCGUGUGGAGAGAAGACAUGGGAGAUAGUAACUAGUUAGAUAGAUCUCACCGUUACAAUAGUAGAAUAUUUAUAUGUCGCUAACUUGGUAUACAAGGGGGGGGGGGGGNNNNNNNNNNNNNNNNNNNNUCGCCUAUAAUCUAUAAUAUAGUAGAAAAUGCCCAUGAAAACCCCUCUAUCAAUUCCGUAUAUGCUUUAUUGGGAAAGUAUGAAGUGGUUUUUGAUAUGAUUCCCAAUUAGGCAAGAGGUGUGGAUGCAUUCUCGGAGGCGUCGAUGUAAUAUCCUCGCGGGUGUCGACGUAUUCUCGGGGGGCGUCGAUGUAUUCUCCGGGGGGCGUCGAUGCAUUUUGAAUGUAGCCGACGUACUCGGCAAACCAACCCUACUACGUACGUAAGCAAUCUACACAGUAACUUAACUUGGUUGUUAAGUUAACCAUUUAGUAUUUAGACACACACUUGUGUAGGUUAGUAACCGCUACAUUUAUAAGCAGUACUUCGUUCAACCAAUAUUAACAAUCUACAUGACAGACAUGGGUGUUUAGAAUUCACAUGCAUUUAAUGCGUUCAAUGCAUAUGUGUGUAUGUAUGUCUGUAUGUAUGUGUAUGUAUGUAAUUAGCCGCACGGACCCUGAUAUAUGUGGUUGUUGGAACUUGGUGUGUGACGAGACAUGGAUUAUCUGAAGCAUAUGCAUCUAUCCAUACCCAAGGAGCUCCAUGAUUGAUUAAAUGUUGUUGACGUUGGGCUCUGGUGGGGUACUCUCAUCGGCGUUGCACACUAAGUAGU
rnacentral:lncRNA from 1 species